rnacentral:rRNA from 1 species
GACGAACGCUGGCGGCGUGCUUAACACAUGCAAGUCGAACGGUGAAGCGCUUUCCUUUUUGGUUGGUGUGGAUGAGUGGCGAACGGGUGAGUAACACGUGAGUAACCUGCCCCCUUCUUCUGGAUAACCGCAUGAAAGUGUGGCUAAUACGGGAUAUUCUGCGCCUGCUGCAUGGUGGGUGUGGGAAAGAUUGUGCCUUUGGGUGUUUUCGGUGGGGGAUGGGCUCGCGGCCUAUCAGCUUGUUGGUGGGGUGAUGGCCUACCAAGGCGGUGACGGGUAGACGGACUGAGAGGGUGGACGGUCACACUGGGACUGAGACACGGCCCAGACUCCUACGGGAGGCAGCAGUGGGGAAUAUGGCACAAUGGGCGCAAGCCUGAUGCAGCGACGCCGCGUGAGGGGUGGAGGCCUUCGGGGUGUGAACCUCUUUCGAGAGUGAAGCAGGCCUGCUCCUUGUGGGUGGGUUGACGGUAGCUGGAGAAGAAGCGCCGGCUAACUACGUG